rnacentral:rRNA from 12 species
GACCUCGGAUCAGGUAGGGAUACCCGCUGAACUUAAGCAUAUCAAUAAGCGG